rnacentral:tRNA from 1 species
AGAGGCUAUGGUUCAGUAAUAGGGCAUUUGCUUGGCGUGCAAACGUCCCAGUUUCAAACUCUGGCACCUCCA